UACGAAGGGGGCUAGCGUUGCUCGGAAUCACUGGGCGUAAAGCGCACGUAGGCGGCUUUCUAAGUCAGGGGUGAAAUCCUGGAGCUCAACUCCAGAACUGCCUUUGAUACUGGAGAGCUUGAGUCCGGGAGAGGUGAGUGGAACUCCGAGUGUAGAGGUGAAAUUCGUAGAUAUUCGGAAGAACACCAGUGGCGAAGGCGGCACACUGGCCCGGUACUGACGCUGAGGUGCGAAAGCGUGGGGAGCAAACAGG
rnacentral:rRNA from 1 species